GCCUGGUGGGCUACAGUCCAUGGGGUUGUAAAGAGUCAGACACAACUGAGUGACUAACACACACACACACACAUACACACACACACACACACACACACACACACACACGCCCUUUCCUCUCUUAGCUCCAUAAGCCAUUGGGGGUUAUAUAUGGAUUGACUAUUCCCCUUGAUCCAGAGUAAACUCCAGAAAUUAGGGGAAAUUCUAUUAAAAAGUUGUAACAUCAGGAACCCAGAAACAGCCUCCGUACUGGCUGAGAAGCAGGGAGGACUGUGGCUGUGAAGGGGCUGCUCUGGAUCACCCAACCUGUAAUAGGUUGCCACCAUCAGGCUUUGGCAGUGACAUGGCUACAGCUGAGGUCAUUUGAGAGCCUGGAACCCCAGCAAGGUAAGAAGAUCCAGGGCUGAUCCUUGAGACUGAGUAGGCUCUACUGAGUCUCCAGGCUGGUCACUGGAAGUAGGUCCACAGGGAAGUAAUAGAAUUAUCAGUGUUCCUAAUCUGAACACAUGGGCCCUCAAGUAGCAUAUUCUGAGCCAGUGGGUGGAAUUACAUUACCGAUGUACGCAACUGGUGAAGUGGGACAUAUGGUUCAACAUAACUUAUUUUAUUCCUGAAAAAAAUGCUAUGAGGUAGUACUAUUUUUAUUCCUAAUUUAUGCAUAAGGAAAAUAUAGUUUAGUAAAGUAACUUGCCCAAUGUCACAUAGCUGUGCUCUGCUGUGCUUAGUCACUCAGUCCUGUCCAACUCUUUGCAACCCCAUGGACUGCACCCCACCAGGCUCCUCUGUCCAUGGGGAUUCUCCAGGUAAGAUAAUGGAAAAUACUCCAUUCUCCAUGGUAGAAUCUGUUGCCAUGGAGUCAGCUGCCGUGCCCUCCUCCAGGGGAUUUUUUGAACCCAGGUCUCCCACACUGCAGGUGGAUUCUUUAUCAUCUGAAUCACCAGGGAAGCCCAAGAAUGCUGGAGUGGGUAGCCUGUCCCUUCUCCAGGGGAUCUUCCUGACCCAGGAAUCAAACUGGGGUCUUCUGCAUUGCAGGUGGAUUCUUUACCAGCUGAGCUACCAGGGAAGUCCACUGCAUAGCUAGGAGGCCCUGUGCCCAGGUCUGGGCUGGGGCAGACACGAACUCUCACAAGCAACUUGAACAGCAGUUGGAUUUCUUGGCUCUCAGAUCCCUGAAUGGUGUUCUGCAAAGAGCUGAAGUUCCACUCCCUUGACAGUGGCCCUGAGCUCAGCCUGAUGAAAAAUGCUUUCUAAGAAGAUGAAUGACUUGCUGAGGUGUCAUGGCCAAGAUCUGAUGGAGUUAGAGGACUGAGGUUUAAACUCAAGCUCAGAAUCAAAUCUUCAUUUAAAACAACAGAGCUCCUUGUUCCCCACCAAAUAAACACCAGGACCCAGGGCUGCUGUGGCCCCAUUGGGAGGAAAGGGAAUGACCCUUGCAUUGUUCAGCCAUGGUUAGAGGUACCACCUCCCAGAUAUUCAGAAAACAUGAAGAUUUCAAGCUCUUCCAAUCAGGCACUUUUGGAGAAGACUCAUGGUCUGCGGAAGAAAGAAAAAGAGGAGCUUGGAAGGGCUUGCAGCCACGCAACUUACAGAGCUAAGCACUUAGCCUGCUGCUCUGAUUUGGCACCGUCAGAGACCGGGAGGGGCACCGGGGCUCCUCUCCAGGUUUGCCCCAUGCCCGCCCUUCUGUGUAGAGGAAGUCACAAAUGAGCCAAGAAACAGAGAACCGAACUUGAGAAGGAAAACACAGGAGGCCUCAUCCAACCCAGGAGCCAUAAAGAAGCAGCAGAAAAGGUCUAGGAUGCGCAGGGAGUGCUCAGUUAGGUUGAAGUUUUUACCUGUCCUUCCAGUCAACUAACCAAGAAGGUUUCCAGAAGGGACAGGAUUGUCUUGAAAACCUUAAUAUCCUUAACAUUGGGCAUCCUUUAAUAUAAUGCUGGUAGGUGAUCAAACUUUGUAUUUCUUGGUACUCUCUUAUUGGUGUUUAUAAGUUAAUUGAUAAGUUAAAGCUAGGCCCUGUGGAGGAAACAAAUGAAGUCUGUGAGAGAGGUUAUGAGUCACCCAUUUUAUUGUACAGAAUAUAAUCUCAUGCUAAUUAUUGAACUAUAUU
ensembl:lncRNA